UCUUUGGUAGCUCAGUGGUAAAGAAUCUGCCUGCAAUGUAGGAGAUCCAGGUUCGAUCCCUGGUCAGGUAG
rnacentral:tRNA from 1 species